UACGUAGGGGGCAAGCGUUGUCCGGAUUUAUUGGGCGUAAAGGGCGCGUAGGCGGGCCAUCAAGUCGAGGGUGAAAGCCCCCAGCUCAACUGGGGAAGUGCCUCCGAUACUGGUGGUCUCGAGGGAGAUAGGGGCGUGCGGAACUUCCGGUGGAGCGGUGAAAUGCGUAGAUAUCGGAAGGAACACCGGUGGCGAAAGCGGCGCGCUGGAUCUCUUCUGACGCUGAGGCGCGAAAGCCAGGGGAGCGAACGGG
rnacentral:rRNA from 1 species